GUCUGGGUGGCUCAGUUGGUUGAGCGUCUGACUUCAGUUCAGGUCAUGAUCUCGCGGUCUGUGAGUUCAAGCCCCGCGUCGGGCU
rnacentral:tRNA from 1 species